rnacentral:rRNA from 1 species
ACUCAAAGGAAUUGACGGGGACCCGCACAAGCGGUGGAUGAUGUGGAUUAAUUCGAUGCAACGCGAAAAACCUUACCUACGCUUGACAUGUCUGGAAUCCCUCAGAGAUGGGGGAGUGCUCGAAAGAGAGCCAGAACACAGGUGCUGCAUGGCUGUCGUCAGCUCGUGUCGUGAGAUGUUGGGUUAAGUCCCGCAACGAGCGCAACCCUUAUCAUUAGUUGCUACGAAAGGGCACUCUAAUGAGACUGCCGGUGACAAACCGGAGGAAGGUGGGGAUGACGUCAAGUCCUCAUGGCCCUUAUGCGUAGGGCUUCACACGUCAUACAAUGGUCGGUACAGAGGGUUGCCAACCCGCGAGGGGGAGCCAAUCCCACAAAACCGAUCGUAGUCCGGAUUGCAGUCUGCAACUCGACUGCAUGAAGUCGGAAUCGCUAGUAAUCGCGGAUCAGCAUGUCGCGGUGAAUACGUUCCCGGGUCUUGUACACACCGCCCGU